rnacentral:rRNA from 1 species
AGGACGAACGCUGGCGGCGUGCUUAACACAUGCAAGUCGAGCGGUAAGGCCCUUUCGGGGGUACGACGAGCGGCGAACGGGUGAGUAACACGUGGGUGACCUGCCCUCAGCUCUGGGAUAAGCCUGGGAAACUGGGUCUAAUACCGGAUAUGACUCCAUGACGCAUGUUGUGGGGUGGAAAGCCUUGUGCGGCUGAGGAUGGGCCCGCGGCCUAUCAGCUUGUUGGUGGGGUGANGGCCUACCAAGGCGACGACGGGUAGCCGGCCUGAGAGGGCGACCGGCCACACUGGGACUGAGACACGGCCCAGACUCCUACGGGAGGCAGCAGUGGGGAAUCUUGCGCAAUGGGCGAAAGCCUGACGCAGCGACGCCGCGUGAGGGAUGACGGCCUGGUGUAACUACUUC